ACUCCUACGGGAGGCAGCAGUAGGGAAUCUUCCGCAAUGGGCGGAAGCCUGAACGGAGCAAUGCCGCGUGAGUGAAGAAGGCCUUCGGGUCGUAAAACUCUGUUAUAAGAGAAGAACAAAUUGUAGAGUGAACUGAUACAGUCUUGACGGUAUCUUAUCAGAAAGCCACGGCAAACUA
rnacentral:rRNA from 1 species